UACGGAGGAUGCAAGCGUUAUCCGGAAUGAUUGGGCGUAAAGCGUCCGCAGGUGGCAAUGUAAGUCUGCUCUUAAAGAGUCUAGCUCAACUAGAUAAAAGCAGUGGAAACUACAUAGCUAGAGUACGUUCGGGGCAGAGGGAAUUCCUGGUGUAGCGGUGAAAUGCGUAGAGAUCAGGAAGAACACCGGUGGCGAAAGCGCUCUGCUGGACCUUAACUGACACUGAGGGACGAAAGCUAGGGGAGCGAAUGGG
rnacentral:rRNA from 1 species